rnacentral:rRNA from 1 species
GAUGAACGCUGGCGGCGUGCCUAAUACAUGCAAGUCGAGCGAACAGACGAGGCGCUUGCUCCUUUGACGUUAGCGGCGGACGGGUGUGUAACACGUGGAUAACCCACCUAUAAGUCGGGGAUAACCUCGGGAAACCGGAGCUAAUACCGGAUAAUAUACUGAACCGCAUGGUUCAAUAGUGAAAGACGGCUUUGCUGUCACUUAUAGCUGGAUCCGCGCCGCAUUAGCUAGUUGGUAAGGUAACGGCGUACCAAGGCGACGAUGCGUAGCCGAAAUGAGAGGGUGAUCAGCCACACUGGAACUGAGACACGGUCCAGACUCCUACGGGAGGCAGCAGUAGGGAAUCUUGAGCAAUGGGCGGAAGCCUGACGGAGCAACGCCGCGUGAGUGAUGAAGGUCUUCGGAUCGUAAAACUCUGUUAUUGGGGAAGAACAGAUGUGUAAGUAGCUAUGCCCGUCUUGACGGUACCUGAUCAAGAAGCAACGGCUAACUACGUG